ACAGAGAGAAAGGGAGAGAGAGGCUCCCAAGCAGGCUCUGUGCUGUCACCGUAAAGCCUGAUGCUGGCUUUGAUCCCACGAACCUUGAGAUCAUGACCCGAGCUGAAAUCAAGAGUCAGAUGCUUAACUGACUGGGCCACACAGGCACCCCAUGUAAUAAGGUAUUGUUUCCAUGGAAACAAGGCCCAAAGUUCCACUCUAACCAACAGAACUGAUAGGAUGGAAAUAUGUCAGGGAGGGGUACUUGUCCAAUCCUGGACCUGAGUUAUGCACUGACUGAGGAAGCCAGCUUCCUGUGGACUGGCCCAAGGUAAAUAGGCAUCUGAGAGCUGCACUGCUGUGGUGGAGUGGUGUCAGACAGAUCUAGAUGCACAUCUCACUGCUGCCACUUAAGUCCUACUGAUGGAAGAACAAGCCAAAAUGUGGGAGGAAGAAAUGGAAACAACAGACAGCUGGGUGUUGCUAUAGAAUUUCGUAACUGGAAGGUGUCUCCUGGUCACUUUUGGGUCAGAAACUGUAGCUUGGAGACUCUAGGUCACCACUGCCCAGCCAGAAUGAGGCUUUCCGUCCUGAACAGAUGGCCUGGGACUUAGCCUCUCCAGUGAGAACGAUAGUCUUGACUAAAACCAGUGCCUCUCUGAGUGUGGCCUCGCUGCAGGUGCUGCCCCCGGACAACAAAUAGAAAACUGGAACAGCAAACAACAAAGACCAAUUACUUCAGUUAGAGAAAGCUUUUGUGCCCACCAAGGAGAAAGAACCCCCCUUCCUCCUGGCUGGUCAGCCCAAGCCUGGAUCCAUGGACUUCUGAGGUCUGGCUAGGUAUCAGCUGCACUCACACCCCUCAAAGGGCAUUGCUAUUCAUGCUCUGGCAUAUUUCUAAGCUAGAUAACAGGCCUAGAUGAGGAGUCACUGAAUUCAAACUGAUGUGUCUGUGGACAUAGGGGUUUCUGAGAGAAUAAAUGAGCAUUUGUAGCCUGUAAAGUUAGCCACCACCAUACCCAGUGCAGAUCCUUUUUUUUUUUUUUUUUCAAUUUUGGAAAUUAGUGGCAUAUAUGGGUGGUAAAGGGUGCCUGGGUGGCUCAAUUGGUUAAAGCAUCUGACUUUGGCUCAGGUCAUGAUCGCACAGUACAUGAGUCAUGAGUUCAAGCCCCAAGUCAGGCUCUCUGUGCUCAGCGCAGAGCCUGCUUCUUCAAUUCAUUAAUAAUUACUGCUCAUGCCCCACUAAUUUCACAGGAUUUGCGGAUUAAUGUUUAUUUAUUUUGGGGGGGGCAAGGGGCAGAGAGAGAGGAGACACAGAAUCCAAAGCAGGCUGUCCGCACAAAGCCUGAUGCAGGGUUAGAAAUCAGUAACUGUGAGAUCAUGACCAGAGCCAAAGAUGGACACUCAACAGACUGAGCCACCCAGGUGCCCCAGGAUUUGCAAAUUAAAAAAAGAACACUAUUGUAGUCAAUAGUUAGUUGCUAAAAACUCAAAUAAUGCAAUAAAUGUAAGAAUGGAGGUCUUGCCACUUAGGACAUUUGAUAGACUUGUUAUGGAAAGAUAAAGUUUGCAUAUAUAUUGUAUGAAGAGUCCUGGGGUGGGCAAUGCAUUUACAUAUUCCUCUUCAGUUCCUUUCUUCUUGUUUUGUAGCCUCCUCUCCCCGCCUUCCACAGAAAAUCACACAGCCCUUAUAGGAGCCACUCGAAAUACAAA